UAACGAAAUACAAAACAAAACUAAAAAAGAAAUGCACAGAGAACAAGCUCGUGUUGAAACUGUGGCACUGAUUCACACCGCGUCAUGAAGAAUGCAGUUUGAUUCAUCACAUCUUCAAGGAGUUUGAAAGUUGAGGUUCUUGCGAUGAGAAUUCGACGAACACAGCUCUUGAAUACCAAGGUUUCUCGUUGCCUGUCAUGAAGUACAUAGAAAUUCAUCCACGUGGAGUUUUGAAUCAUGUUCUUCGGAAGGAAAGUCGCGAACCGAUGGAAUUGGAGGCAACCUUGGUGAACAUGAUCAUGGUGUGAAGCGGAGACGAAAGUCAAAUGGCUUAUUUCUGUUCAUGGCAGAUGGUGGACGUGAAGAGACUGGACGCGACAUAACGUAUUCUUAACAAGGUUUCUUAAUGGCGGAAAGCUGAACUUCAAAGCA